GUUCUGCUAUCAGGACAUGUAUGAGCAUGAGGCGAUCAACAGGCGUGGUGUCAUCAGAAAGGUAAAGACAACACAAGGAUGAGUCAAGCCAUUUCAACCCUUAUUAUCCAUUAAAUAAUUCUGUACGUAGAUUUUAAGUUAACAUAUAUUUUUUGCAAGUUGUCUUUUUGGUUACCACAACCUCAUCAAUUCUGGCCACACUGAAGACAGUGGAUAUAACAGCACCAUAAUGUCAGCAGAGUGUAAUUAAGCAGCACUCCCACUGCAAACCGAUCCAUGAUUAACACUAGUCACUUAUUAAUUACUACUAAUAAAUAAUUAUUACUAUUUCUGACUGACAAAUGAACAAACGAAGGGAGAGCUGACGUGAGCCACAGCAGAUAAAGGCAGCAAACAUAAAACCUAAUGUAGCCCUGUCUAAAAGACACUGACAGUAUAGGGCUUAAAAUCAGUUUAAAAUGUAUAAAUAGUUGUAUAAAAAAACAAAUAAACAGUAAGUUCAUGUAAACAGGUUUAAAAAUGGAUAAAGACUGGUUAAAGUAUGUAUUCUUGAGAUAAAAAUGUAUAAAAUGUAUGUGUAGAGAUAAGUUAUGUUUCAUAUGUUUAUUCAGAAGGGUUAUGUUCCUUUAAGAAACUCUAAUAUUCAUGGGAAAAAGUAAUGUUUGGUUGGUUUGAAGGCACCACAUGUAAACUGUUGUGCAUCCUAAUCUGUUUCAAGUCAGAAUGUCAAUCAUUGUAUUUCUGUAUUUCCAUUGUAUGCUAACAAACUAAUAGCCAAUCCAAGCGCUUCCCUAUGCAAAGGGGCGGGACAAGUGGCGCAUGGCAAGGUGAUAGACAAGGAAAACUCAAACGCUGUCGUACUGAGAACAUAGAGGACGCAUCGUGUUGUGGAGAGCAUUUUAAGUUAUUAUCCUGAAGGUCGACUACCCGUGGUCCUGAUAAUUAGCUUGUGUGUGAUCUGCAAAAAGGAGACGGACUGUUGUGGA